UCCAGACUCCUACGGGAGGCAGCAGUGGGGGAUAUUGCACAAUGGGGGGAACCCUGAUGCAGCGACGCCGCGUGGGUGAAGGAGUAUUUCGGUAUGUAAAGCCCUAUCGGCAGGGAAGAAGAAAGACGGUACCUGACCAAGAAGCCCCGGCUAACUACGUGCCAGCAGCCGCGGUAAUACGUAGGGGGCGAGCGUUAUCCGGAUUCACUGGGUGUAAAGGGAGCGUAGACGGCCAAGCAAGCCAGGGGUGAAAGCCCGGGGUCCAACCCCGGGACUGCCCUUGGAACUGCAUGGCUGGAGUGCGGGAGGGGCAGGCGGAAUUCCUGGUGUAGCGGUGAAAUGCGUAGAUAUCAGGAGGAACACCGGCGGCGAAGGCGGCCUGCUGGACCGCGACUGACGUUGAGGCUCGAAAGCGUGGGGAGCAAACAGGAUUAGAUACCCCCGUAGG
rnacentral:rRNA from 1 species